UAGCGAUGAAAAAAACAACAACAAAAAACUAACACACCCAUUAGCCUAGACCUACACAGCGUCAGGAUCAUCAGCAUCACUACUUUUCACCUCCACAUCUUAUCCCACUGGAAAGCCUUCAGGGGCAAGAACAUGCAUGGAGCUGUCAUUUCCUUUGAUGAUAAUGCCUUCUACUGUAAUACCUCCUGAAGGACCUGCCUGGGUUCUUUUGAGAAGGUGUCAGUUUUUUCAGAAGUGACACAGAUGAUAAAAACCGUUCGAGAAUUUAGAUGUGACAUCUGCAGCAGGUUCAGAUCUCUCAGCUAUCAGACAGACUGGAUACUUCGUAAAGAUUGUCGUCUGUUAUGCACAGAGAGCCAAAACCCGUUACUGAAAUUGUCUGGGUGAGCUGCCUGCUGGGUCCAGUGAUGCGCUAGUAGACAAAGACGUUGAAAGAGAAGGCUCACUUACUCUUUGGAUGACUGGCAGAAUGAGACACCAGUAUGGCAUCAAGCCCUACUAUGAUUCCAAGGACUUUAUGACUGUAUGAUUAAAUAAAAGUGACUUUUUUUUUUUGGUGGGGGUGGUUGAAGUAAAUUUGAUUUUUACUUGGGGAAUGUGUAAUGUAUUAUUAUUCCAUAAUGAUAUAUGGUGGUGGUUUUGGUAAUCAAUCUUUAAAGUUCCUGUAUAUUUAUGGAACUUCUGUAGUUAAACUUUUUAUUAUUGGAUUCUCUUACUGUAAGGCAAAUACUGUAACGAACAACAUCCGCUUAACCUAAAAAAGUUAACCUAAAAAGAUUAAUUUAAGGACUAUGAUUUUCACAGAGAAAUUUUUACUUAAAGCAUUCUAUUUACAAAAGGUUACUGCAUCCAGAACUUUCUAGGAAACCGUCCUUUUGUGUAUUCUCUUGAUUCAGUAGUAAGUAGAAAAUCAUACCAUAUAGUAUUAACAGUUAAUAAAUUAAUAAUAACUACUCAUUAAAAUACUAAUUAAUAACUUCAGACCUGUUAACCAAAUUUACUUAAAAUGAUUUAACAAACAGGUGUGACCUGGAAAUAAACCUGUGUAUUUACUAAAACUAUUGAAUCACAAGAAAACUAGAACAUCAAAGUAUUCUCUAAACCAAAUCAGUGUUUUAUUUGGUUAGAGUUUCUGCUUUUGGCAUUCACCUAUUUAUAUCUUUUAUAGAGGAUUUGAAAGCAGUUCUGGGAAAUGGGGUAGGUAGAUUCUCUCAGAGUUGACUCUCAUUUAUUUCCUCAGCCAGUCUUUUAACAUUUUUUCUUCCUUCUUAGUGUUCAACAAAACUCUUGCAGCCCAAGAUAUAAAACAUAGAUUACAUUUAUAUAGUUCAUACAGCUCAUUUACAAACAGAAGAUUCCCUCAUGACUUACCUUGAAAUCUUUGUUCCAGGCCUGUACAACUCAGCUUGUCAAUGUGCUAAUGCCACUACGGCACGGUUUUGGUCAGAAUGCAGUGCAACUAACAUAGCCAUUCUGCCAGGAAAAAGAUCUGAGGGGAGUUACACACAUCUAAUUUACAAGUCAGAUUAGAGAUCAGAAUCAUAUGAUAGCUUUAUGUGGAAUUGAUUUCAUUUCAUGGUUUUUAAGCUAUUUUUUCAUUGAAGCAAUGCCUGUAACUGAAAGACAGGUGUGUUGUAGCAUUUGAAUGCCUUACAUUCUUUUGAAUCCGUAAUGAAGGGAUGUUCGUAGACAUUUAGAUCCUAAACCUCGGGGAUUUUGGAAUGAAAUGCUCUGUCAUUCAUUUAUUGUGCCAUAAUUGAACUGCCCUGCAGAUUUUGUUUGGGAUUAUUGUGAUUCAUAUUUGGAAAACUACCAUUUUCAGAUAUAAGGUACUUUAGGAAAGACUGGUUCUGUGUGUGUGUGUGUGUGUUUAAAUAAAGCAGAAAACAUCAUUUUACCUUAUAAAUAGGAUAUAUUUAAUAAGAAAUACUUGCAUUUGACAUAGAUAGGCAUUUAAAUUAGGAGUUCCAUUGUGGUCUGAGGUGAGGGCAUUAAGUAGAGCACUUUAUAGAUUGCCAUUUUUUUCCUAAAGUAAACCUCUAAAAAAAUAUAACAUAAAGAAGAAUGCACAAAUAUAGCUUGGUAAGUGGCAGUUAUUCUCUUAUUUCACCUGUUUGUAUUGAAAUUGAGAAGACGUAAAAAUAAGUAUGAAAAACUAGUUCAUUGCAGAAAGGAUGUGCUGUUUAUUGGAAUUUGAGAACAGAGUUGCAGAAAAGCAUGUGUGUUCAUCUUUUAGAUAGUUCUUGAGCCUGCAAUUGAUUUAGUAUAACAAGGAGUAGAAAAUCCAGGUGUUUCAAACCAGUUUUGUAUCAGUAGUCAAAAGAUUUAGUUUUACCCUUUCCCCAUCCCUGCCACCUGCUGAGUUCUUGUUAAUUAAUUUCCGAUACGACAAAACAUUGGGAUUUAGAAUGUCUUGAGAAUUCAUCAAUUACAUCUUUCUGUCCACUGUAUUUUACAUAGGACUUGUUUAGUUGUUAGAAUUAUAGGACACGAGAAAGGUAGCGAUCCUGACUGUUACGGACUUCAAAAAAGACUUUUGAACAAAGACCAAGGUAAGGUAAGGAUGUAGGGGGCAUACAUUCCUGUGCUUAUUUCAGUAGAGCAGUGACAGUUUAGGUGGUUCCUUCCCCCACUACCUUUCCCCUUAACUGAGGAGUGUUGCAACGAAGGCAGGAAAACAGUUACUGACAUUUUCAACUCAAAAUGUUAGAAAGGAAAAAUGUUUUUUAAUUGCUUGGAAAUAUAGAAAAAAUACUAGCAAACGAGGCAGUUGGACAAGGGGUUAGAAGUAAGGAGGGUUAUUCAAGAGUAAAGUGGUUGUAUAAUAAUCCUUGCUAGAGUUUUUACUCAAAACAGGAGAAAACUUGGGAAGAGAGAUCCGGUAAAGUGAUUUAGAAAUAGUUGUUAUGGAAGUAGGGUAACACGCUCCUCAAAGAUUGCUAGUAGGCAGAGAAAAUAUUGACUAAGUGGGGGAAAGGUUAUCUCUGACAUGAAAUUGCAUUCAUAUUUUAUGGUAGUCAAAAGUGAGCACCUGUUUUAGAGAAGGCAUCCUGAUACUCCCGUUCAUUCUGUGCACCGUAUGGGUGCUCCUGCAGGCUAAAAUUAUCCUUGUGACGGUGGGUGAACACUUUAGACUUGGAUUUGUGUUUUAGAAUCUGAUUUAGUUUAUUAUGAUUAUUACCAAUACAUGCUCAGCUUUUGGCAAGAAGUUACACUUUACAUUAGCUGGGUAUCUUUGACAUCCAGAAAUAAAAUACCGGAUGAGAUUUAAAUCAGUUUUAUUGGUUGUAAUUUAUGUAUUAAAAAUCCAGUUAAUUAAUUGUGAUGUGUAGAUCCAUGUAACUAUCCACAUUCAAGAAAUGGAAUAUUUUAACACCCCCAAACUUCCCUAUGCUUCUUUCCAAUCAGUUUUCCAUCGACAACCACUGUUCUGACUUCUGUUUCCAUAGGUUAAGCUUGUUCUUGAACUUUGUAUACAUGGAGUCAUAGAGUAUCUACUGUUGUGUACCUGGCUUUUCCUCAGUAUGAUGGUUUUGAGAUUUAUCCAUGUUACUGUGUGUAUUAGUGGUUCAUUCUGUUUUGUUGAGCAGUAUUCUAUUUUACCACAAUUUGUAUAUCCGUAAUUCUGUUAAUACACUUUUUAUUUUAUUGGCAAUCGUGAAUAAAGCUGCUACAAACUGAA